rnacentral:rRNA from 1 species
AUUGAACGCUGGCGGCAUGCCUUACACAUGCAAGUCGAACGGUAACGGGCCUUCGGGUGCCGACGAGUGGCGAACGGGUGAGUAAUACAUCGGAACGUGCCCGAUCGUGGGGGAUAACGAGGCGAAAGCUUUGCUAAUACCGCAUACGAUCUACGGAUGAAAGCAGGGGACCGCAAGGCCUUGCGCGGACGGAGCGGCCGAUGGCAGAUUAGGUAGUUGGUGGGAUAAAAGCUUACCAAGCCGACGAUCUGUAGCUGGUCUGAGAGGAUGAUCAGCCACACUGGGACUGAGACACGGCCCAGACUCCUACGGGAGGCAGCAGUGGGGAAUUUUGGAUAAUGGGCGCAAGCCUGAUCCAGCCAUGCCGCGUGCAGGAUGAAGGCCUUCGGGUUGUAAACUGCUUUUGUACGGAACGAAAAGCCUUCUUUUAAUACAGGAGGGUCAUGACGGUACCGUAAGAAUAAGCACCGGCUAACUACGUG